GUAGGGUCAUACCAUCACGGAGGUGAAGGGGUGUUGCUUGAAGUCGUAGAGUCGGACCAUGACGGAGGUGGAGGGGUGUUGUUAGAAGUCGUAGGGUCGUACCAUCACGGAGGUGGAGGGGUGUUAGAAGUCGUAGGGUCGUAGCAUGACGGAGGUGAAGGGGUGUUGCUUGAAGUCGUAGAGUCGGACCAUGACGGAGGUGGAGGGGUGUUGUUAGAAGUCGUAGGGUCGUACCAUCACGGAGGUUGAGGGGUGUUGUUAGAAGUCGU